rnacentral:tRNA from 1 species
GGCUUGGUCGGUAAGAUGCAGUAAGAGAUGGUUCACCCUUAAAUGAGCAUCAGAUUCCUAAUCUGAGGGUCACGCGUUCGAAUCGCGUCGGGAUCACCA